rnacentral:lncRNA from 1 species
GAGUCAGCAAUUUCACUCCGGUUCUUGGAUCUCACACCAGGCACUUUCUCUCCUCUCCCAGUCCUGCCCUCCGACCCUGUUUCAAUCAGCUCCGGGGACUGUCUACCUCCAGGACGGGUAAGGAUACCAUGUAACAAGUUCUAGGAGCAAACCGGCUCACUGGGAGAUGGAGGGCAAGGCUGCAGUAUAGGAAGGACCAUUACCAGCUGGCAAAAGAAAGCUCAAACUGCUGCAUCAGGGAGCUCCAGCCCGGGGGAGCUUCUAAAAGCUCUAGCCUGCAGAGGGGAAGCUGCUUCGAGACACUGAGUGCCGGCCAGACCAAUCUAUCCCUCUGGCCCUGCUGUGGGUCAUCGCCAUGUGCCUCAUCUGAGACUGUUUGGAUUUCCUACUGCUGCCUCACAGACGGGCUUCAGGCACAUUUUCUUUUUAAAUUUAGACAGACUUCAGUUUUCAUCAAAACCCUGCCGCUUUGAAACUGUGCUCUUGAGAAAAAGACUUUGUCCCUCCCCAGUGCCCCACGCCUCAACCCCACGAUGCUUAGCCAGUGGUUAAGAGCUAAUAUGGGCUCUGUUCAUCAUGUCACUGCCUGGCUUUGUUUAAAAUGGUGUGGAUUCUGAACAUUCUUUAAGUUCCUGACGUCAACCGUACACAUCAAAUUAAUACCGAAAUCCUCAUUUCGCUCUGGCCCAGAUUCUAGGCCCAGACCUAGUUAGCAGCCUUUCAGGAAGGCGAAUGGCUGCCAUGACCUAUGGAGAGUUUGGAUCUCAGAUGUCUUCUUGUUUGAGACAGGACAUCCCUUAGCUCGGGCUGGCCUACAACAAAUAUCUCUCGCCCCUGCCUCCUCAGAACUGGGAAUGAAGGUGUGUAUCCCUACUCCUGGUUAUUUGUUUUUUUAAUGUACACAUUAAGAUGUAUGUGCGUCAGUACCCACAUGACACCAUGAACAUGCUGGGCUAAAAGGACAACUCUGUGGAGACACUUCUCCCCUUUGGUCUGAAACUCAAGUCACCAGGCCUGGACCAUCAGAUGGCAAGACCACCUUUACCUCCUGAGUGAUCUGGCCAGCCUGCUUCUCAGGACCUGCCUGUUCAGCCAGCAGCAGGGAGAAGGAGAGAGCAAUAGAGGUGAGGAGGUGAUGGCCAAAUGCCUCACAGAAGCCAAAGUGCAAGAGCCUGGAUCCCACAAACUUGUUCAAUAGUUUUCUAAAAAAAAAAAUAAAAUAAAAAAUAAAGUUUGUAGGGCUGGAGAGGUGGUUCAGUGGUUUAAUAGAGCUGACUGCUCUUCCAGAGGUCCUGAGUUCAAAUCCCAGCAGCCACUUGGUGGCUCACAACCAUCUGUAAUGGAGUCCAAUGCCCACUUCUGGAAUGUCUGAAGACAGCUACAGUGUACUCAUAUACAUAAAAUAAAUUAAUGAAAAGUAUGCAAACAAAAAA